rnacentral:rRNA from 1 species
GAUAGAACAUUAUGCCUGGAAUGGUUUAUGUUUCAAAUAAUUUAUUGCCGUAGGAUGGGACUGCGGCCUAUCAGUUUGUUGGUGAGGUAAUGGCCCACCAAGACUAUUACAGGUACGGGCUCUGAGAGGAGUAGCCCGGAGAUGGGUACUGAGACACGGACCCAGGCCCUAUGGGGCGCAGCAGGCGAGAAAACUUUGCAAUGUGCGAAAGCACGACAAGGUUAAUCCGAGUGGUUUCUGCUAAAGGAACCUUUUGUCAGUCCUAGAAACACUGAUGAAUAAGGGGUGGGCAAGUUCUGGUGUCAGCCGCCGCGGUAAAACCAGCACCUCAAGUGGUCAGGAUGAUUAUUGGGCCUAAAGCAUCCGUAGCCUGCUUUGUAAGUUUUCGGUUAAAUCCAUACGCUCAACGUAUGGGCUGCCGGGAAUACUGCAAAGCUAGGGAGUGGGAGAGGUAGACGGUACUCGGUAGGAAGGGGUAAAAUCCUUUGAUCUAUUGAUGACCACCUGUGGCGAAGGCGGUCUACCAGAACACGUCCGACGGUGAGGGAUGAAAGCUGGGGGAGCAAACCGGAUUAGAUACCCGGGUAGUCCCAGCUGUAAACUAUGCAAACUCAGUGAUGCAUCGGCUUGAUGCCAAUGCAGUGCUGCAGGGAAGCCGUUAAGUUUGCCGCCUGGGAAGUACGUACGCAA